rnacentral:tRNA from 3 species
GGGGCUAUAGCUCAGUUGGUAGAGCGCUUCGUUCGCAUCGAAGAGGUCGGGGGUUCGACUCCCCCUAGCUCCACGA